rnacentral:sRNA from 2 species
GCUGCAGCAAAAUCUGCAGCCGGGUCUCUCAACCCCGAAAUUAACGAAGCGCACAACACGCGCCAGCGUGUUUUUU